GAAGAGGGGGUAUAUUGUUUUGCACAUGUCGGUCGGUCCAUCCGUCGGUCGGUCUUUCGGUCCGUCGGUCCGUCCACCAGAUGGUUUCCAGAUGAUAACUAAAGAACGCUUAGGCCUAGGAUCAUGAAACUUCAUAGGUAGAUUGAUCAUGACUGGCAGAUGACCCCUAUUGAUUUUCAGGUCACUAGGUCAAAGGUCAAGGUCACAGUGACUCGAAAUAGUAAAAUGGUUUCCGGAUGAUAACUCAAGAAUGCUUAUGCCUAGGAUCAUGAAACUUCAUAGGUACAUUGAUCAUGACUGGCAGAUGACCCCUAUUGAUUUUCAGGUCACUAGGUCAAAGGUCAAGGUCACAGUGACUGGAAAUAGUAAAAUGGUUUCCGGAUGAUAACUCAAGAAUGCUUAUGCCUAGGGUCAUGAAACUUCAUAGGUACAUUGAUCAUGACUGGCAGAUGACCCCUAUUGAUUUUCAGGUCACUAGGUCAAAGGUCAAGGUCACAGUGACUCAAAAUAGUAAAAUGGUUUCCGGAUGAUAACUCAAGAAUGCUUACGCCUAGGAUCAUGAAACUUCAUAGGUACAUUGAAAAUGACUGGCAGAUGACCCCUAUUGAUUUUCAGGUCACUAGGUCAAAGGUCAAGGUCACAGUGACUGGAAAUAGUAAAAUGGUUUCCGGAUGAUAACUCAAGAAUGCUUAUGCCUAGGAUCAUGAAACUUCAUAGGUACAUUGAUCAUGACUGGCAGAUGACCCCUAUUGAUUUUCAGGUCACUAGGUCAAAGGUCAAGGUCACAGUGACUCGAAAUAGUAAAAUGGUUUACGGAUGAUAACUCAAGAAUGCUUAUGCCUAGGAUCAUGAAACUUAAUAGGUAC